UACGGGGGGGAGCAAGCGUUGUUCGGAUUUACUGGGCGUAAAGGGCGCGUAGGCGGCCACCGCAAGUCGACUGUGAAAUCUCCGGGCUUAACCCGGAAAGGUCAGCCGAUACUGCGGGGCUAGAGUGCAGAAGGGGCAACUGGAAUUCUCGGUGUAGCGGUGAAAUGCGUAGAUAUCGAGAGGAACACCUGCGGCGAAGGCGGGUUGCUGGGCUGACACUGACGCUGAAGUGCGAAGCUAGGGGAGCGAACGGG
rnacentral:rRNA from 1 species